CAGCCGUAAACAAUGUGCGUUAGGUGUGUCGGUAACCACGCGUUACUGAUGCGCCGAAGAGAAAUCGUGAAACGCACCACCCGGGAAGUACGGUCGCAAGGCUGAAACUUAAAGGAAUUGGCGGGGGAGCACCACAACAGGUGGAGCCUGCGGUUUAAUUUGGAUUCAACGCCGGACAUCUCACCGGAUAAGACAGCUGAAUGAUUGUCAAUCUGAAGGUUUUACAUGACUAGCUGAGAGGAGGUGCAUGGCGUAGACGUCU
rnacentral:rRNA from 1 species